UACAGAGGGUGCUAGCGUUGUUCGGAAUCAUUGGGCGUAAAGCGCGCGUAGGCGGCCCGGUAAGUCCGUUGUGAAAGUCAAAGGCUCAACCUUUGAAAGCCGAUGGAUACUGCCGGGCUAGAGUCCGGAAGAGGCGAGUGGAAUUCCCGGUGUAGCGGUGAAAUGCGCAGAUAUCGGGAGGAACACCAAUGGCGAAGGCAGCUCGCUGGGACGUUACUGACGCUGAGACGCGAAAGCGUGGGGAGCAAACAGG
rnacentral:rRNA from 1 species